GCGGAAAUAGCUCAGUUGAUAGAGCGCUACCUUCCCAAGGUAGAUGCCGUGGUUUUGAGUCCCGUUUUCCGCUCCA
rnacentral:tRNA from 1 species